GUCUACGGCCAUGCCACCCUGAACAUGCCCCAUCUCGUCUGAUCUCAGAAGCUAAGCAGGGUUGGACCUGGUUAGUACUUGGAUGGGAGACCACGUAGGCAUUUAAA
rnacentral:rRNA from 1 species